CUGUCCUAAAUCUGCGGAACUUGUUUAUACUUUUGGUAGAUCUACAGUUUAGGUAAAGGGCCUCAAAGCUACCUCUCACAGAAGGAUAUGCAUUCCAUUGGUAGAACUGCUUCUCUGAUCUUCAACCCUUGUUGCUUGUGAGAAAGAAAUAUCAAGUAGCAAAGGCAAAGAGAAAACUAUUUGAGUGGUAUGUCCUCAAGAAUAAAUUAUCAAACAGCAGAUAGGUUAAGGCUAAAUCAUGAAAAAUGCCAAACACUUUACACAGAGGACUGAAGUAAAUCUUUAUUUAUUUUUUUAAUCAGAAAAGUAAAUUUCUAUCUCAAGUAUAACUGACUUCUCUUUGAUGUUCUAGGUUACAAUUCAAACCAACAGCACCAAAUAACUACCAGCAUUGCAUAUAUUUAAAGUGCUUUAUACUCCUCAAUCCUACCAAAGCUUUAGUAUGUAUUACUAAUAUAUAAGGAAAGAGAAAAAACACAAAAUCUAAAAAGAAAUUCAAAGGAACAAAAAUCAUUUGAAUUUGAGUGAAGACUGUAAAAUCACUAUAUUAAACAAAAGCCUGGAACCACCACAAUGAAAGAAUAACGAAGGAAUGAAUAAGGAAACACAUGAUUUUGUCACACCAAAUUCUUCAAUUGACAAGAAGAGAGUUUUGUCUAACCCUCUGGAUCUUAAGCAAUUGUUAAGCCACUACGAAUCCAAAAUAAGGUAAAUGCAUUAUCUUGGAUGGGUCAUUAGCAUCCCAAAUACUCCCACUCUUCCAUGUAUGCAAAAACCAUUUGCACAAAGCUUAAAAUAUUGUUUUGAUUUGUUAUUAUCUUAGGUAAAGCGGAUGAAAGUGUUUGAAUAGCUCUUGAAAAGUCAGUUUGAUAGAACAGCAUUUCAUCGGAGUUCAAAUUCAAAUAAUUAAUUGAACAUAAUUGAACUUUUGAAAAUCAUAUUUGGUGCAUCCCAAAAUAGAAAAUGUGGCAUAUAAACUGGAUCAAGGAGUAGAAGAAAGUAUAAUAUAGGAAAAUGCACAAUUUCAAAUGAAUCUUUCAAUCAAAAAUCAAGAUCACUUGAGCUUAAAUGGAAAUAUAGAACACAUAGAUGAAAGUUGUUGAGUGCGAACCCAAUUUGGAAACUCGUUCUUCUUUUCUUCAUAAUUCCUCAUCUAGAUUCCUGUAGCUUCUCAAAAGUUGGGAACCGCAUAUAAGUGGUGAUGUAUGCUGAAGGUUUGAAAUGCUAGAAGCACACACAGCUCAUUGCUUCUUUUCCUCUUCCCUUCUUAAUCAAAUAAAAAGAUGCUAAAGUUAGAUUACCUCAUCACAUUUUACUCAUCAUGAGUAAUAGAUUCUCCCAAGGUGAGAGGGCAGGGCGUGAUGUGGGAGUUGGGCACUCGUCACAUAUUCGAACCUUUGCUGCAGACAUAUUUAAGGUGAGGCAUGAUAGAUAUUUUGGGCUCUUUACACUUACAGCAGUGAUAAUCUGCUCCCUAUGUAUAUACCUUUAAGCACUUUCUUGUUGCUAGAUUUUCAAAGAAAUACCUUUAACAAUUCAAAAUAUAUAUAAUAGAAUGCUCAUAUUCAUGUCUUAGUUAGUUAAUAGAUUACCCUAUUAAAUUUCAAGAACCCAAAUUCUCAAGAAAUUUUAAUACCUAAAGUUGCUUAUCAUUAACCAAAAGUGAGAUUGUUGUAAAAAGGGAUUCCACCCCAGUACAAGUUGAAGCACAAAAAUAUACAACUAAAUAUCCCCAUUCAACUUUCAACAACUGAAAUCUCAAGCAAUUCAAAGAUACCCAAACAUAAAAUUUCAACAGGAAGAGAGUGACAUAGGACAGAAAAAAUAACUGAAUCCUAGUGCUUUUUAAGCCUCGGGGGUUGCUUCUGAUUUGCUAGUCGAUAAAUCCAGUACACCUACACAAAUUUCAUCACAAUGAAUCAAAUACUCUACCCCACACAGAUUUUCAUCAUACUACUACUACUAAUUGAAAAAGAAUAAGAGAAAGUACCAAAGCGAGGACAUGGGCACCGAUAAGUAUGACCACCAAAAGAGGUACUGUUUCAAGACGGCUCUGUGUUUGUUGCUGAUUCGCCAUUUUCGAAGAGGUGAAUCUAUAGUUCUCUGAAUUUAUUUAUAGUAUCAAACAAUGGGGUGUGCCUGCAUUCGCGGAAAAUGCAAAUUAGUAAAACCCUUCUUUCCCGAUAACUCUAUAGCUUCAUUUUAUAUUGGCAGAAUAGCUAGGAUACACUUGUAUUUGUUUCUAUUUGUUAUCCCGUCCAUUACGCUCCAUAACUUAAUUAAAACAAGACUUUUAAACACCUUCGAAAUUGCGUCAUGCUUACUUG
rnacentral:lncRNA from 1 species